GCUGCAUGGAGAUAUUGCAUUUUGUUAAGGACUUCAUCAGUAAGGCUUGCUGCAAGCUCAUCAACUUUUGAGCCCUCUUUCAAAUUUGUUACUUCUCUAACUUCCUUUGCGAUCUUUUCUUGUAUGUGAAGAUGCUUGCACAUCAUAUAAAUAAACCAUGAGAGAGAGCUAGAUGUCGUGUCUUGUCCGGCGACAGUAACACAGAGGACUAUGUCUCUCAGGUACUUCGGAUCAGUAUCUUUCAGUUCCAAACACCUUGAAACCAAGUCUCUUUUCUUUAGCUGCCAUUGAUCCUCAAUACAUUAUUGAUGAUAAAAUACGAAGUUAAAUCAUCUAUAUGUAAAACAUGGAAGAUUAACUCACAGAUAGGUUAUGUUCUGGAUGUCGCAUAGCUUCAAUCUUGCUAUUGAUUAAUUUAUACACAAAUUGAUCAACCACUUUGAUGUUUUUCUUUAGCUCUGCUUCCUUACCGAUGUUUAAGAAGCGUUUGAUCUUCCACAACUUAUCAAAUAUCCGAUACAGGGCAGCUUCUUGCUGCGCUUCAAAAGCAUGGGAAAACAGGUUACCUUCUUCAUCUUUUCCACUCAUGCUGUCUAGUUCAAUACCAAGUACAAUCUUGAUGAUUGAGUCUAAGGUUGCUUUUCAUAAACAAAUCCUUCCAAAAAAAAAAAAAAACACAUACACACACAAGAUUAAUGAUAUAUCAAAUAGAUAUAACAACUUAAUUGAGACCAAAAUCCAAAACAUACUUGGAUUUCUAUUGCUUUGUUGCUGGUUGCAGCUUCAUAGAUUAUGCCAACAAGUUUAACUGCAUUGGUUUUGAAAACCGAAGUGCUGAAGUCUCUAACUACUUUUGUUGAAAAUUUCAGCACUCAUCAUCUUCCUCUGAUGCUGCCAUUUUGCCCAUCCACUCCGAAGAUCCCAUCACCACAACAUCUGACAAAAUGUUGUAUGUAUAUGACCCCUGCAGCAUGUUGCAUUGGAACUAUGACAUGAAUAAUGUCACAUAUGUAUGAAUUGAACUUCUACACAUUUAAGCAUUCCACAUCAUAUAUACCUUGCCAUAAUUAGUGAAGUUUGUUUUCAGCACAUAUUCCACAUUUGCAGGAUCUGCUGUGUAAAUAGCACCUUUGAAGAAGUCCAGCAGCCUGUAAGUGUUGUAUUUGAAUGCAAGCUCAGCCAUGUAAUGAUGCAGCCUAGGGAAGUAGAUGAGUUGGUGAAAGACAGUUCCGACAACAGGAUGGUAUCUCUUGUUCUUGUCACGCACCCUUCGGCCCCGGUGUCUUACCACAACAACAGCUAAAACUAACACUAAACUUAACACUAUAGCCGGGGAAGCAAAAUCCAUGACAGUGUUGAAGAAGAUUAUAGUAGCAGAGGAAGCUAGCUUUUCUGUUUCUGCCGACUUCCCUAUCCAACUAUAUAUCCAAGCUAGGUAUUUGCAUGGGAACUCAGCAGCAAUUGAACAAUAAUUGAGUAACAAUUCAAGCUAGGCUCCACUCCAAUAAUACAUUGAACUUGUUGGUGUGAUUGGAAAUGGCUGGCCAAAUCUCCGUUGCACAUUCCAUAUNNNNNNNNNNNNNNNNNNNNUUUCUUUUUUUGGGAGGGAUAGCAAACAUUACCGCCAAACUCAAUGUUACGUACAGCAGCAGAAAACAAAUCCAUGAAAACAAAAGGAGCACUCGUGACUUAAUUGUCUCUCUCAUUCGGUUUAGAUUGCAGGUCAAUAAUGUACGUUAUAUGGGUAUGGAGAUGAGCAAGGCUUGGCCGAAAGCACAACCGGUAACCAAUAUUGGCAAUCUACUUAACCAUGCAUUAAUUGGUGAUAGAUUACACACCCACUUUACUUUUCGUGCUCAACUAAAUCUGAUACGGUGUACUGUUCUUGUUUACAACCAAAUUAAUAUUUUAUUGGACAGUAAUUGUUUAGGUAAAUAUUAAUUAAAUUCAUGGUCCACGUCAUACCAACGAGCCUAAAAUAUUGGGUUUAUGGCCCGCCGGUGAGCUGGGUAGCAGAGUUCACAUGAAGUGUACUGACUUCGCGUAGAAGAUUGAGCGAGGCGAGAUGCCUUCGCGCGGGAAGACUUCGCCAGGAGAAGAGUUUACGUGUAUUAAGGUUUCUAUUCUUUAAAUCACAUGUAUGCAAGUGUAUGUACUCCCUAUGCGUGGCGAAGGAAAAUGCUUGCAGCUACAGUGAAGGCGAGAUGCAUGCGAAGAAUAAGGUUGCAUGCGAGAUGCUUGCAGGCGGAGAAAGAUGCUUGCAGGCGAAGAAUUAUAGACUUCGCAUAGAAGUGGAGGAGUCUUAAAUGUGGAGGCGAGAUGCGUGCGGAGAAAAGAUUAUUAAUGGCUACUCAUGCUGCCAUCACAAGAAGACCUAUAUGUCCUAUCUCACGUGCCAAUGUAAGUCAUUGUUUUGGCCACUUGGUCUACAGAGAAGAGUUCGCAUAGAGAUAGGAUUAAAGGACGUGUGAGCUGUGCCUUAGGUUUGGAUAAUUAUCUUUAUUUCCAUGAUUGCAUGCGAGAUGGUUCAUUAAGGAUCCUUAUCCUUAGUUAAACAUGAUUGCAUGGGGAGGGGUUCAUUAAGGAUCAUUAUCCUCAUUCAAGCAUAAUUGCAUGAGGAAGCUUACGUCCACAUCCGCGAAGGUGUUGUAGAGAGCAACUACUGUUCCUACAUUACAUCUAUGUUCAAGAGUUCGUGCCUUUGGAAUAGGGAUGACAAUAAUCCCCCAGCGGGUAGGGUACCCACGGGUAUUCGACCCUAACGGGGAAGAUAUACGGGUAUAAACGGGUAACGGGGAUGGGGAUCCUUAGUAUUCGGAUUCUUAAAUCGGGUACGGGGCGGGUAUGGUAUUUUGAUAUUCGUCCCCAUCCCCACCCAUUAAGGAUGAAAAUAUUAUUAUAUAUAAUUAUAUAAUUUAUUAUUAUAUAUAUUUAUAUAUAAUUUAUAAAUAAAUAUUUAUGUAAAAAAAUUUGUAAUUCUCUUAAUAAACAUUUAAUGGACCUUCCUUUUUAUUAUAUAUUUUUAUUCUCUUAAUGAAAUUUACCGGUAUUGUUAUGUUUUAACCAAGACUUGUAUUUAUUUUUAUUGGAUUGAAGUAUGAAACUUAUUUAUUUUGGUAUUUGAUUUUAAUUUCAUACUUUUAUAUAAUUGUAUUUCGUAAUUUAAAAAAAAAAAAUUUAAUUUAAUACAUAAUUGUUAACGGGUACGGGUACGGGUAUGGAAACGUAAUCCCCAAAGGGUACGGGUACGGGGAAUCUCCAUUAUCUAAUUACGGGUACGGGGAUGAAAAAUGUAAAAAGGUAUGGGUACGGUAUUUUGAUCCCCGUACCCUACCCUACCCAUUGCCAUCCCUACUUUGGAAACAUAAUUAGUCACGUCACCUACGAACUCAACGUUGAAGACUUCUACAAGUCUUUGACAUGUUUUGGGCCAAUACAUGUGGCCCUAAAUAGCUUUAUAUAAGAGAGUUCGAGGAUCUGGUUUAGCUCUACACAACAAACAAUACAACAACUCAACUUUACAAAAUACAAUACAAUUUUCGACCUAGUCGAACCUCAGACGCUCCCCGGAGCUUUCCUUUCGUUUCCCCGUACGCUCUCCGGAGCUUUCUCUUUUUUCCUCUCCUUCCCAAUUGAAGCUCUGCUCGAUCUUACGUCGAGUAUCGAUAUUGUGACGCUCAGGCGGACUACUGUAAGUCCUUGCCUAGUACGCAAGACGAAUCUGAAGAACUCUGCGGUGGAGUUGGUGCUUUCUCCAUCCUCAGUCGCUUGAUUAGAAGCGGAAGGCUAAGCGCACCCAGCUACUACAACCAUUACAUUCCGCAUCCGUGCGGUGGCACGCCUGCAACAACUAAAAGAGACUUUGCAUGCCCAAAAUUACUGGUGUGGCCAAAACAGUUCUAUUUGUUGAUCGGAUUUCAAGUGCUUUGUUUAGCGGAAAUUCUUCAAUGCAUCAAGAUCGAAGUGAACCAGUAAUUAAAAUGAAAUCUCAGCCGUUCAUUUGAUCAGCCCACUACAUGCGCACUAACUUCAAUAUUAACGUUAUUAACAAUAACCCAAAAAAAACAAAAAAAAAACGAAUUGAAACCAUAGUUAAUGUUAAGAACUGAAACCAAAGUAAAUAUUCGAUCGAGGAAGUGUUCAGACUUUAGCUCAAUCUCAUGAUUCUUGUGAAUUUUUUCGAAGAGGAGGAGAAUUUCGAGCUCGUAUUAAAUCACUUGUGUCCUAUGCUCGUCAAGAUGAUGUCGUUUUUGUCCGAUUAGAUUAUUCGACGAGAUGGAAUCGCCGAUCCUAUAUAUUUACAGAGCUCGGCGGCGAUGGAGAUGAGCCUUGGUUGCCAUGAUUCGAUCUGAAUCUAGUGGUGGACUGGUGGGUUUAGAGAAGAAAUGGAAGCGAGGUUUGUGAGACCCAGGAGAACUAGUUUCAUGAUUGAUAUAGUGAAGAUUCAAUCAUCAAAGUGGAAACCGGUGACAGUACAAAAAUGUGAAGAAGAAAAUUGAAAAAGGCGGUAUUGCUUUCCCAUAACCGAUUCAUGUGAAAUUUGAGAAGGGCAUAGUUGUCCCUUUCGAAAGGAAAGGCUAUUUUUGGUUGCCAACUACUUGGCAUUAAGAAUAGUUGAGAGAUGUAGAUGACUUGAGCUAAUUAAAGCAUAAGACUGAUCAUACUAGCUAGCUCACCACCUAAUUCCAUUUCAUCCAAACGAAUGCUAGCAUGCGACAGAUUGUGGUUGCUGCCGGAAUGCGACAUUUCAAUUCAUAAUCACCUAAGAAGCUAAUCUAGCUAGCUAGCUACUUGAAAUUUACUACUAAGCAUAUAUGAAGGACUUACGACUUACGAGUCAUCUUCUUUGAACUUCACAUGAAUUAUGAGCAUGGUAAUAGAGCAUCAAUUUUAGAACUAGCUAGGCAGCAAAACUGCGCGAUGUUGCAGGUAUAUCAUUGAUGUAUCUGGCAAUUAUGAUAGAGGCAAAAAAGUAAAUCAAUACAAUAUGAGAAGUAAUGUAGAGAAUAGAGAAUUGAGGUAAUUAGAUACCCUAAAACGAUAGAGGAUUACCACUGUACAUUCAACUGGUAAAAACACUGUAUUGCCCCCGGUUUGCAAACAAUUGCAACAAGGCCAUUGAUGAAUAAGUAUGGACACCUGUGGGCAUGUGCUGCUGAUACGUGUCUGGGUCAUUGACGUGUCGUCAGUGUCUUCUUCAACACAACGACGGGGUUCUUCUGCAUUCGCUUUUUGCCAGUUGAGAGGGAGAGAGAGAGGGAGAGGGGUUAUUCGUGAAGCGAAAAUCCGCAUUGCCAUUGUCAAUCAAAUCGUCGAGGUAUGGACUUUGCUCUGUAUAUGAUUGAUUUUGGGUUUUUGUUUCAUCUGUCCCGAUCGUCUUUUAUCUUUGUUUUGAUUCCAAUUUGCCUAUACUUUCAUCAAUUCGCAAAGUCUGGGUUUUUAAACGGAUUAUGCUUAGAUAGCGAUCGUUUUGCUCACAAAAUAAGGUAUUUAGUUGUUUGGUUAGUUGUAUAUGUAGUGUAGGUGGUGUUUUAUAAUUGGGAUCUGAAUUUGUCUCAUGAAAUUAGUUAUAGGAAAUGGGUGUUUCAGACCAUAAGCAUUGUGUUGCUUCACCAUUAUAGUUGAAGAUGUCCAAUCAUUUUCUACAGGUAGAAAGUAAAUCCAUGUCUUUUAACAUCAGUUUUCUGUCCAAUUCAAUCCAUAGUUGAAUUGUUAAGGUCAAAAGCUUUAAGAAAAGCAAGGAAAAAUAAAAAGAGCAAAACAAAGAUAAAGAAUAUUGUUACAAGUUGGCAAUUAGUGAUACAAUCAUCAUUAACAAACAGCUCCUCUUCUCAUCUACCACAUGUAUAUUAUCAUUAUAUAUCAGUUUCAGACAUUCAGCAACCUUUGAACAUACAUAUUGUUUACAUUUUUUUUAUAUAUAAUAACUUUGGAGCCAUACAUGGUUUGGCACAUAGAGUUAGAAAGAAACUACCAACUGCUCAAUUAUCAAGAUUAGAUCAAGAUAGAGAAAAACAAACAGAUGGAGAUGCUUCUAGGUUGUAUAUAUAUACAGCGGGUUUAUAUAUAUAUAUAUAUAAAAGAGGGUUUGCAUGAGUCUUUGUUGUCCAUAAUGCGUCCAUGAUGUCUUUCGACCUAAAAUCUUUGUUGUCAAUCUCAUACAUGGUUACAUAACAAAAAAGAGACAGUGUGAAAUACCUGAUGUGUUACCUAUGCGCAAAGCUAAUUACCAGAUUUUGAUGGGAUUCACUAAGAUAUAUUUAAUUUUUUAUCAAAUAUAUUUUAAAGUUUACUGUAUGUACAAAGCUAAUUUCCAGAUUUUCAAUUGUUACAAGUAUAUAUUUUAACGCUCAGUGUUUUUGUAAAAUAUUUUAACCUAUGUUUAGGUUACCUGUAUCACAUUAUGAGAAUUGGUUCAUUCCUUAUACUUUUAUAACAAUGUGUGAUGACUUUAUCAUUAGUAAUUCACAUGUGUAAUGACUGAAAAUAGUGAAAUAAAAACAGCUGAGAUGCAGCAAUAACAAUGUGUGAAAUGGCUCAGUUCCUUUUGCUUGGUUUAGAUCUUGCAUGCAUUCAUUCUGCGAGGAAAUGGAAGUUCCGAGGAAAGAUAGUAGUGUGAGUUGGUCUUGAUCUCAUUUUGUGGUGAGGGNNNNNNNNNNNNNNNNNNNNAUGCCUCACAAUCAGAGGAUCUUCAGUCUUUUAAGUCUUAGUCUGUUAUUCUUCUAUUCCAGUUAUCAUUUUAAAUCAAUGAACAUACCUCAUCCUGAAUAUUUUUAAUUCCUUAUUAAUCAUCUUUUCUGUAAGCUGAAAUAGUCGCAACUUUGUACGAGUCGAUAAAGGAGUUUGUGAAAGCUGGCAAUGAGGAGAAGAUAAGGUAAUGAUGUAAAUAUAAAUUGCUUGGUAUGAAAUUCUUUUCAUUUGGUAUUCUUAGCAAUCAAAUACGAUAUUUUACUGUUCAUUAUUAGAUCUCAUAUUCAUUUAAUGUGAGUAAUGUAUGGCCUCAUGUGAUGUGCUUAUACGACUUCUCUCUUAUGUUACUUAUGACACGAUGCAUGCAAAUUGCUUUUUGUACUCUUUAGGUACGUAGCAUGCAAAACUCCCAGAUUUCUGGGGUACCCUUUAAGGAGCUAUUAAUCUUUUCAUUUUUUCAGCAAAUGGAUGAACAAAGUUACAACAUGAUGCCAUAAUUUUACAUGAACCUUUUCUUUUAAUAUUUUCAUGGUCAUAAUGUGGGAUGAUUAAGGGCUUUAUUCAGGUUUCAGUCUAAUAUUGUCUUCCUAAAUGUAUGUGAAUGCAUAAAGGCCUUUUAGUUUAAAUUUUUGAUACCCUUGGCAUGUCUUACUGUUUUGUUUCAAACACUUAUAGGUUUCAGCGGUAUAAAUUUUCAGUUCAAAAAGAUUGACGUAAGAUCUGUAUUGCUGAGGCUUUUGAACUUGCUGUGAAUGUUACGUUUUAUUUCCCUUCCUGGAUAGAUUUGUUCGGUUUAUUUUAUUUGCUAAUAUACUUGCAUAAAAUUUUUGUACAUCAUAUCCACUCAUGCUUUGUCUGUCAUUUUUGUAUGAAACAUUUACGCAGUUAAGAUCUUCUGAUGCUAUUCUUCAUUUUGAAAAAUGUAAAAAAUUCUUCAUCGUACUGAGAUACAUGAUAGAGGUUAUGUUUUUUGGCCAGAGUUUAUUUUACCUUGAUUGUGAUCCCUUUUCCUCACAAAAAGGUAUUGCGUUGUUGUAUUCGUGAACAAUCAAGUUAUUUUAUUAUGCAUGCUUCAUUAUUGGUAUGAUUAUAUGUUAUUUAUGUUGAGUUCAUGUUCAGUUUUGCUCAUAUUAGUAAUCAUUAACAAAUUAUAUUCUUGAAUCCUGAUUAAAAGUGAAGUUGAGGAGUUUAUUAAGUCCUUUUUUCUUUUUUUUGCUCUAUUGUAAGGGGUGUUAGAAAGUCUUUAACAGUUCCAUUUCAUGGUACCUUUGGAAGAACAACUUUGUCAAAGUUUGUAUAUUUCAGAUCUCGACUUCGCUUUUCUGGAGAUGAAUCCUUUUGCAUUGGUUGAUGGAAAGCCAUAUCCUUUGGAUAUGAGAGGCGAGCUCGAUGACCCUGCUGUUUUCAAGAACUUCAAAAGUACAUUCAAUUUCUGUUGUUAUUACCCUCCCUGCUAAGUUAUUUGACGAAAGCUAUAUGAUACUAUCUAAUGUUUCUUCUGUUUAAGUGUACCAUUUUGCAACACCACCUUACAUGAUAUAAUUGUUUCAGGCGGGCUAAUAUUGAAUUUUCAAUGCCUUUUGGAAGAGUUACGAGUCCUACAUAAAAAAUUAUUCAUGGGCUAGAUGACAAGUACAAACAAUGAUUUACCCUAUCAGUGAUAGUUUUCAUGCGGGAUUUUAGUUGUAUGCAAUUUUAAUUUCUUUUAUUGUUCAUAAGGAAAUACCCCCAUAUUUAUGGGGAAAUACCUCGCAUUUAUGAUAGCCAUUUAGUAUCCCACUUUAAUCAGGUUGAUUUCUCAAUUGCUUACAGACAUGGGCAUCUUUGAAAUUUACAGUCGUGUACCCUAAGGGAAGAAUCUGGACUAUAGUUGCUGGAGUGUAAGAGUUAUAUAUGCUGACAUGGUGUGCUCAAUUAAGAUUCAAAAAUUUAACUAGAUUUAAACCUUGUUACUUAUGAACCAUUGGUUUUCCUUGGCAUUCAUUGCUCACACUCAAAGUAUAUUCCUUUAUCAGGUUGGAGAUCUUGGCUCUGCUAAUGAGCUUGAAAACUACACUGAAUAUAGUGGAGCACUAAAUGAGAAGGAGGUCUUGCCGUAGGCCAGAGUUGUGAUUGAUGUAAGAACUCUUUCACUCUUGGCAUUAUAUCACUUUAUCCACAGUAGAUGAAAUGCUACUUUCAUAUUUACCACAUCUCUGUUUUCCAUCAAAAACUUUUCACAAGCUUCAUGGCUUCUCUUUAAUACAUUUGGAAUGAAUUUGUUCAUAGUUUUCUGCCCUGAAGCUUAUUGAACAUGAAAAUAGGUUGUGGGUCUGUGGUGGUUUUUGUUAUUUGGGUUGCUGCCUUUUGCAUUUCUGGUAAGGGUUAUUAUUUUUUCGAUGAUUAUAUAUCAAUAUCUAUUCUGUAUUUUUUUUCUUCUCUGCAUCUUUUGUGUGGUUGCUGACUAAUCUACUCUUUCUUACUGUGACUUAUUAAUGGAUGACUAUUUUGUCUACACAUCUUCAGGUUGAUGUUCUUGGAGAAGGUCUUUUAAGCAGGUAUCCUCAAGUUCAAAGGACUUUCAUGCAUGAUGUUUUAUCCUCUCAGUCAUUUUCCUUUAUUGAUUUUAAUCUCUAUUUUAUAGGAAACAAGUGACCUUGGGACAAAAUUAGGUAAUCAAAGAAACUGGGUUUUUGUUUUCGGAUCCUGUUGAUUUACUGUUAAGUAUGUUUUAGAAUGCUUAUACUUGCUUUCAAAUCUUUGAAGAGUAAUGGGUUUCAGCUGGAAAUGGAGGAGAGAAGAAGUACAGACGUUGUCAUCGUUGUUUCCGGGGUUUUCGGUGCAGCUGUUGCCUACACUCUUGCAAAGGUCAGAUAAUGAUUUCAAUAUUUUUUUAAGGAAAAAAUUCAGUUUACUACCCUGAACUUUAGGUCUAAAAUCAGUUUGAUACCUCAUCUUUUUUUUUUAAUCAGUUUGAUACCUAAACUUUCAAAAUGACAUCAAUCUCGACCAAAAUGACUAAAAUAGCCCUGGUUAAUCUUUUUACCCUCUCUCUCUCUCCUGCCUCCAAAUCCACCACAUGGCCNNNNNNNNNNNNNNNNNNNNAAACUGUGAGAUAGUGAUUAUGAGAAACAGAAAAAUAAAAUAAUCGAAGCUGCACAUGUCCAGUGUUGUCCAGUCAUUGGGUAUCUUAUUGUGGCAUUUUAAUAGAGCUGUUUGUGGUAUUAUGUGCAAAAUGAAUCACAUCCGAGUUGUUAUGCUGGUGUAGGAACAUACAUUGCAUAAACAUUGCCUAGGGAACAUUAGAUUUAGAUUGAAACCAUGUUACCUCACACUGAUGGUUUGUGACUGGUGGGCGAUGUGGAUUCGAUAACAAUGAAGUUAUCUGUUUUUGACAAAACCUGUGAUGAUGGUAUUUGUGUAGUAACAUUUUCAUUAAUUAUUGAUUCUUCAAAUUCUCUGAAAACAGUAGUAAAUAUGUCUUUUGUAGUAGAUGUAUGAUUUUGUUUUUAGAAAGCCAUUUUAGCAAAGAUGAGAGUAGUUAUUUGAAGGCUUAUACUACUGUAACUUUUAUCAAGUGUACAGCUUAAACUCUACAAAGAAACUCUCCAAUAUUGUGUUCCUUGCCAACAGUAGUUUGAAAUUUGUGGGAAAUUAAGCUCGGUUGUUGAUGACAUUUAUAAUCUGUAUGGAUUGGUUUCUAUUGUGUGCUGAUAUGGGGGGUUCUGGGUUUUAAUUUGUUUGCAAUGUAGAAACUAUAUUAUUUCUAUUGAAAUGAUGCCUCACAAUCAGAGGAUCUUCAGUCUUUGAAGUCUUAGUCUGUUAUUCUUCUAUUCCAGUUAUCAUUUUAAAUCAAUGAACAUACGUCAUCCUGAAUAUUUUUAAUUCCUUGUGUAAAGCUAAUAUAAAUCAAUAAUUCCAGUUUCAGUAUCACCAAUAAUGGUCUUCCUAAGAUAUUGUUGCAUCAUUUUACCAAGCAAACUUUUAUUGAUUACAGUACGUAUGAAGAUGAUGCGCUGCAGUAGGUAAAGGAGUUUACUCAUCAAGACCAACCACUGGUGCACUGAAGUAGCUAUGGUAGUAAUGGCACAUGUCAUUUAAGGUCUUGCAUGCCAUAUUCUCGGGGAGGCAGUCACAUAGAGACCUCCAUCAAUUGGUAGGGUGAUCAUGGUCUUGUAAUUGACAAUAUUUUUCUCAUCAGCUAGCUUGAAUAUAUAGCUGCCUAAAAGCAUAGCAGAAAAUAUUUUCAUCUGCGUAUAGGCAUGUUCCUUUCCUAGACAAAUUCUUGGACCGGCCUGCAAUCACAUAAUCUCAUCAGAAGUCACAUUAUGUAGUGAGUCAGUGAUUUCAUUAUUAUCUUUUUCUUACACUGAAGGCUAUGAAUUUGAAAGGACUUUCAUCAUGGAAAAGGCCAUUUUCGUCGAGCCAUCUCUCUGGCCGAAACUCUUCUGCAUCAUCACCCCAUAGAGAUUUCAUCCUUCCCAUUGCAUACGGUUGGUAUACCACCAUGUCCCCAUUUUUGACACUAAAUCCAUCUGGCCAGGUAUCAUCAGAAAAACACAUCCUCAUGUUCUACGAAUGGCAGCAUCACACAAAACAAACUUGUUUAGAGGUAGAUUAUGUGAUUCAAGAAAUGCGAGGAAUUGUAACCUUGCAAGUGUCAGUUGAGAAUAUUAGAUUUAUAGACGUACCAUUGGAACUGCAGGAUAGAGUCUUAAUGUUUCUGUCAAAGCCGCAUGGAGAUAUUGCAUUUUGUUUAGGGCUUCAUCAGUAAGGAUUGCUGCAAGCUCAUCAACUCUUAAAUUAUCUUUCAAAUUUGUUACUUCUCUAACUUCUUUUGCAAUCUUCUCCUGUAUGUGAAGAUGCUUGCACAUCAUGUAAACAAACCAUGAAAGAGAGCUAGCUGUCGUGUCUUGGCCGGCAACAGUAACACAAAGGACCAUGUCUCUCAGGUACUUUGGAUCAGUAUCUUUCAUUUCCAAACGCCUUGAAACCAAGUCUCUUUUCUUCAGCUGACAUGGAUCCUCAUUACAUAUUUACAUUAGAAAUGAUAAACACCAAUUCAAUUCACUCUAUAUAUAAGCAAUAACAAACAAAUGAAGUGGAAGGUAACUCACAGAUAGAUUAUCUUCUUGAUUCUGCAUAGUUUCAAUCUUGCUAUUGAUUAAUUUAUACACAAAUUGAUCGACCUCUUUGAUGUUUUUCUUUAG
rnacentral:lncRNA from 1 species